rnacentral:tRNA from 1 species
AUCAUUUUAUUGUAUUAUAAACGAGCAUAUCUGAUUCUCAAUCAGAAGGAUUUUAAAUGAUU